rnacentral:tRNA from 1 species
GGUCCCAUCGUCUAGCGGCCUAGGACACUGGUCUCUCAAGCCGGAAACAGGGGUUCGAAUCCCCUUGGGACCGCCA